rnacentral:piRNA from 1 species
UGCAUUUUAGUAUAUUAAUUUCUCUGUUUU